UACGGGGGGGGCAAGCGUUGUUCGGAAUUACUGGGCGUAAAGGGCUCGUAGGCGGCCAACUAAGUCCGACGUGAAAUCCCCAGGCUUAACCUGGGAACUGCGUCGGAUACUGGAUGGCUUGAAUUCGGGAGAGGGAUGCAGAAUUCCGGGUGUAGCGGUGGAAUGCGUAGAGAUCCGGAAGAACACCGGUGGCGAAGGCGGCCUGCUGGGCAGUUGCUGACACUGAGGCGCGACAGCGUGGGGAGCAAACAGG
rnacentral:rRNA from 1 species